ACACCUGUUAUAUGUCAAUUGCCUGACUGUAUUGUUUAAUUAUUUUCGUAUCUACUGUUGUUAUCGUAUUUAUUAUUAUGAUUGUAUAUAAUUUUGAUAAUUAGCUCCGGUAAAAGUCGCAAAUUGUAUUGUGUAUUAAGAUUGGCCUGCAAAGGAGAGAGAGAAUUGCAGUUGAUUUUGACUACUGAAAACAAAAUUGUGUACCAUGGAACAGUGCUCUUGCUGAAUUGUGUCUGGGAGUUAAUUGAGGAUGGAGCAGUAUCUAAAGGAAACGUAAAAGUGCCCUUUUGCACUGAAAACAGAGGCAGUAUGAUGUGUUGAUAUUUUAAUGAAGGAAGGAUUUGUGAUAGUGAAUAGGUAAGUAAUAUUAAUUAAUGAUGUAGAUAUUUCAAAAAAGUAAGCAUUAAAUAUCAUCUGGAAGACUGGAAAACUUUGGUGAUGUUAUAGAACAUCAUAAAUAGCUAAAACUGUAAGGU